AACGAACGCUGGCGGCAGGCCUAACACAUGCAAGUCGAGCGAAGCCUUCGGGCUUAGCGGCGGACGGGUGAGUAACGCGUGGGAACGUGCACUUAGGUACGGAAUAGCCCCGGGAUACUGGGAGUAAUACCGUAUGUGGUCGAGAGACUAAAGAUUAAUCGCCAAGGGAUCGGCCGGCGUUGGAUUAGGUAGUUGGUGGGGUAAUGGCCUACCAAGCCGACGAUCUAUAGCUGGUUUGAGAGGAUGAUCAGCCACACUGAGACUGAGACACGGCCCAGCCUCCUACGGGAGGGAGCAGUGGGGGAUCUUAGACAAUGGGGGAAAACCUGAACUAGCCAUGCCGCGUGAUCGAUGAAGGCCUUAGGGUUGUAAAGAUCUUUCAGUGGGGAAGAUAAUGACGGUACCCACAGGAGAAGCCCCGGCUAACUCCGUGCCAGCAGCCGCCGCAGUAA
rnacentral:rRNA from 1 species